rnacentral:lncRNA from 10 species
GGAACUGUAAGUUCCUUAAAGAAAAGCUUCCUACCCCACACACCUUGGGGUACCCUCUCUGUUCUUCUCAGAGAUAAUUCUUUUCAUAAUUCAAUAAAAAGGGGAAAAAUUGCUAAUAUUUAAAGAGAGUUUACAGUUGCCAGGUAAAAUACUAAACAUUCCAUGUAAGUUAUGACAUAAUCACAAUAACCUUAUAACUGGGGUGUGGUUAUUGGUUCCAUUUAUCUUGGGGUUGCAAAAUAGAUGUUUUUAAUGUUGUCCACUUUUGGUUGGGGGAGGGGAAAAUGAGGAAAUGUUGAUCAAAGAGCACACCAUGUCUUAGUUAUGAAAGAUGAACAAGUUCUGGAGAUCCAAUAUACAACACCAUGACUAUA